AGGAGCUAGACUCUUCAGUACAACAUUGGCUUUUCUCCCCUCUGUGGAGACUUGGAGACAUUUCAUAUCUACAAAUGGAGCUCAGGAACUUUGGAUUAAGGCUAACCUUGCUUAAAGAUCAGCUAUAAUCAAGCUGUAUGGGGAUAACACCUGUGAUCCCAGCACUCGGAAAGCAGAGGCAGGAGGAUGAUAAGAUCACAGUAAAUCUGCACUACAUAGAGAGGUACUGUCUUAAACCCAGGUAUGCUACGGAGUUAGACCUUAUCUCAGAUUUUUUUUUUAAUUCAAAAUUAAGGUUAUUAAAGGGCAAGAUAUUGCUGGCAGGAGAGGUAGGUUUGAGUGGUUCACACUUCAGUAGACUCUCCUUCCUAUCUGUCCUUUGAAUUAGGAAGAGCCUUCGAUUGCCACUGCCUUUAGAGCUUCACUCUUGGUACCAAAUCACAGGAGGUCUGUCCAGAGUAACCAGGAAAUGUGACGACGGGCUCUGUGAAAGGAAAGUCCCUGGCUUUUCACCCAAAGCAAUGCAAGUCUUGGUUUGAGAGGACCAGG
rnacentral:lncRNA from 1 species